AGAGGUGGAGCUAUCAGAACGCCACAGGCUUUCUCAGAACCCAGCUGGUCGUGUCUAGGCUUCAAGGCUACAGGGCAGAGGCAGCUGAGGCCAGAGCACUUUCAAGAAGGUAAGAGUUUGGGGGAGCAGCAUGGGAUUGGGACUCCAGGAGGCACUGUGGGCUCUGAUGUCUCCCCUCUUGCCUCUAGUUGGCUACGCAGCUCCCCCCUCCCCACCCCUAUCCCGAAGCCUCCCCAUGGAUCACCCUGACACCUCUCAGCAUGGCCCUCCCUUUGAGGGACAGAGUCAAGGUAAGGUCACCACCCCAUGCCCUCCUCAGUGACCCUCCAGGUUUCUAAUCUGGCCUACAUCCCACUUUUCAGGUGGAAAGGAGGGAAGAGGCCCUCACCCCCUCUCCCAGCCCUGGCUAGGAGAAAGGGUGGGCUGCUCACACAUUCCCCCUUCUAUAGUGCAGCCCCCUCCCUCUCAGGAGGCUACCCCUCUCCAACAGGAAGAGCUGCUACCUGCCCAGCUCCCUGCUGAAAAGGAAGUGGGUCCCCCUCUCCCUCAGGAAGCUGUCCCCCUCCAAAGAGAGCUGCCCU
rnacentral:sRNA from 1 species